rfam:Stagonospora sp. SRC1lsM3a unplaced genomic scaffold IQ06scaffold_17, whole genome shotgun sequence.
GGUCGCUUAGCUCAGUUGGUUAGAGCGUGGUGCUAAUAGUAUACAACCUUGAUACGCCAAGGUCGCGAGUUCGACCCUCGUAGUGACCA